rnacentral:rRNA from 1 species
CCCUUAGAUGUUCGGGGCCGCACGCGCGCUACACUGAAGGAAUCAGCACGUCUUUCUCCUUGUCCGAAAGGACUGGGUAACCCGCUGAACCUCCUUCGUGCUAGGGAUUGGGGCUUGUAAUUCUUCCCCAUGAACGAGGAAUUCCCAGUAAGCGCGAGUCAUAAGCUCGUGUUGAUUACGUCCCUGCCCUUUGUACACACCGCCCGUCGCUACUACCGAUUGGAUGGUUUAGUGAGAUCCUCGGAUUGGUCCCGGCGCGGCCUCUGGUCGUGCCGGAGUGCCGAAAAGAAUGUCGAACUUGAUCAUCUAGAGGAAGUAAAAGUCGUAACA